rnacentral:rRNA from 1 species
UACGGAGGGUGCAAGCGUUGUCCGGAUUUAUUGGGUUUAAAGGGUGCGUAGGCAGCUGUUUAAGUCAGUGGUGAAAGCCGAUCGCUUAACGAUCGAACUGCCAUUGAUACUGAAUAGCUUGAGUACAGAUGAGGUAGGCGGAAUUGACAGUGUAGCGGUGAAAUGCAUAGAUAUUGUCAAGAACACCGAUUGCGAAGGCAGCUUACUAAAGUGUCACUGACGCUGAGGCACGAAAGUGCGGGGAUCAAACAGG